CGCGUGAGGGAUGACGGCCUUCGGGUUGUAAACCUCUUUUAGAAGGGAAGAAGCUUUCGGGUGACGGUACCUGCAGAAAAAGCACCGGCUAACUACGUGCCAGCAGCCGCGGUAAUACGUAGGGUGCAAGCGUUAUCCGGAAUUAUUGGGCGUAAAGAGCUCGUAGGCGGUUUGUCGCGUCUGCUGUGAAAACUGGAGGCUCAACUUCCAGCGUGCAGUGGGUACGGGCAGGCUAGAGUGCGGUAGGGGAGAUUGGAAUUCCUGGUGUAGCGGUGGAAUGCGCAGAUAUCAGGAGGAACACCGAUGGCGAAGGCAGAUCUCUGGGCCGUUACUGACGCUGAGGAGCGAAAGAGUGGGGAGCGAACAGGCUUAGAUACCCUGGUAGUCCACUCCGUAAACGUUGGGAACUAGUUGUGGGGGCCUUUCCACGGUCUCCGUGACGCAGCUA
rnacentral:rRNA from 1 species